GGGUUAGGAUGAAGAUGCAGUGAGAUGACGGCACAGCUUCUUACAGACCAACUGAAGAUUUCAAACGUCCUUAAAGAGCAGCCCUUCAUUAGAUUGACCAGGUGGUAGCACAUUAAUGGUGGCGAGCAACUGACUUGCAAUAGGAACUUUCUUAUCGUCGUUCCUGUAGCGUUGUGCUUAUCUUGAUAUGAAUGGAAACAGGGUGUCUACUCCAGCCGAUGCAUUGUACGUAGUUCUUGGGAUCUUUAUUUUUAUUUUUCUCUUUUUAUAGAUGAAGCAAACAAAAAGACUUAAGACAAACAAUGAAGCGCCGAUCUGAACAAAAAUCCUCACCUUGUGUCGCCGGAGGAAAGGCCAGUUUUAAAUGGCUUGACAUCAUUCCCAGAAUCAGAGACUUCGCCAAGAAGAAGUUCCGGUAGCAACGGUAUUGUUCAGCCACGGUUUGCUCGCGCUUCCUCUUUAGGAGUGGCUUUGCAUAAGGAAAUAGUAGCGGCUCUUGCUGACUUGUUAUAUAAUGAUGAAAAAUUAAGUCUCAUCGAUGUUGCUGAUAUUGAACAAAUUCUAAACCAUUCCGAGAUGACAACGCAAGUUUUUCUGC
rnacentral:lncRNA from 1 species